CGCGUUUCAAAGACUGACCUUUAUAUAAUAAACAGAAAAAUACAUGGGUGUCUGCCAACAAUUAAUCAAGUUAGGAGUGAAAUACGAUAUACUAUUUAUAAUCCCCUCGUUAUGCAGGACAUCCUUGCUUUGUUUUAAAAAUUGAAGACUGCUGCAUCUUUUCCAAUCAUGUAGCAUUAAUUUUAAACGUUUCUUUGCGCCAUUUAUUUUAGCCAAUCAGCGCCGUGACACUGCCCCUUUAAACACCCAUGUUUGUUCAUAUUUUGAAGUCGCGAACGCGAGUUUCAUCACAUAUAUGCGACACCGUAAACCUCCGACUAUAAGCCAUGGGCUUAUAUACCACCCGUUCCGCACGUUGUGCGAAAAAAUUCCCCGGAGGGGUAGCUGGCCGGGUUAGGGUUUGCGGUUAGGUUGCGGGGUUAGCAGGUGGGGUUAGGGGUUAGGGGUUAGAAGGUGGGGUUAGGGUUAGGGGUUAGAAGGUGGGGUUAGGGUUAGGGGUUAGGAUUAGGGUUAGGGUUUGAGUUAGAAUUAGCGCUUGGAUUAAUUGUAAAUCCAUUGUAACCAAUACUUUAUUGCAUACAAUGGCAUUACAACGCCAAUAAAUUAUUGGUUACAACGUGCGGAACGGCUG